AUCUGGUCUCUGUAUUGGUCAUGGAGGUGGACAUAGAUGCCAGAAACCUGGGUGCAAUAAGGGUGCUGAGAGUCGUACUGCUUACUGUAAAGCUCAUGGUGGAGGGAGGAGGUGCCAACAUUUAGGGUGCACCAAAAGUGCCGAGGGGAAGACAGAAUUUUGCAUAGCUCAUGGUGGUGGUAGACGUUGUGGAUAUUCAGGUGGAUGUGCCAAGGCUGCGCGCGGCAAGUCGGGCCUUUGUAUUAGACAUGGUGGGGGAAAAAGAUGUAAGAUGG
rnacentral:misc_RNA from 1 species